UUUUUGUACUCCAGGAGCAGAGCAUCACAGAAAAUGAAUACAAGGAAGGAGGAGGCCCACUCUGCAGGUGAGAGACCUCCUUUCACAGAUGAGGAAACUGAGGCCAGAGACCGGAAAUGUUGAAAGCCAAGUGACAUUGCUAAUAAUGACAGCCAGGCCGGGAGAAUAAGAUAUCCUCCCUGAGGUCGGUGACAUUUCUGGAGUGCAGUAGACUUCCUGGAGUGGAGCUCAGAGGAGAGUAAAGGGACCCUCAGAGACCACGCCUCUAUCAUCCCGUUUGAAAAGGACAGCACAGAAUUGAAGAGUUCCCUCAGCAUUAGGAUGGGGGUCAGGAUGCUUGAAAUCCAGGCCGAACUUUCCCAGACAGAUCGCUGUCUUACACGGCAGAGAGAAGCUCUUGGCAGCAAGCGCAGCCUCUCUUUCGGGCAGCAGUGCUCAGUCUGCAGGUGAUCUCAUCCAUUCUCAUUACUUGAGGAUCACAGGAGAUGCCAGCUCCGGAGGCCAGACCUGGUUUCCCUUGGCACCAUGAACUGGACCCCUCUCAGGGACUCUGACAGCACAGCGUCACCGGGAAGGCUAUGAGAUGAAACCGACCAGUGUUUCCUAACAGCCUCUUCGACCAGAGGCCCAGGGACUUCUAGCAAGACCAAAUAAUAAAAGCUACAUCUUGGGGUUUGGGGCUGCUUCCCCACCCCGGCUUCUCCCACGCCUCGCGGACUUGGCACCACAGCCCUGCCUGCCGAGCUACUCUGCCGCGCUGCAGAUCUGCCCCACUUCCGAGCCAACCCUCCCGCCCCACACAG